CGGUUGUGGGGGGUCGAGGUGUAGUCAGGGCUGCCUGUAGGAGGAAAAGUCACCGCCGCUGUCCAUGGUACUGAGGACGAGCACCAGCGGGCAGGGGCGGGGCAUGUGCUGACGGCGAGACACAGCUGGCAGGUGAUUAGAUUGCACAGGUGGUACGUGUUAAUCUAAUCAUCUGUUGUCUUUAACAGUAAGCGGCCGGGAGCAGAGCAGGAGAGAGGAUUGGGAGUGACUGCAGCGUCACGGCAUGCUGAAAAACAUUUUGGAAAGCUAUUGUUAGAAACAUUCAAACUUUGUUAAACCUGCACGCUUGGCUCUUGUGCCGUGUCUACAGUGGAGCUGCUAGGAAGCGACUUCCACAACGGUAUAUCCCGUUACGUCUACUAGUCACGCAUAAUGUUUUUGCUCGAAAGGAUUCUUCAUUCAUCACUCCAAGCAACGUUUGAGUGUUUUCUGUGAGGAACUCGCAUGGCUUUCGGCGGUUGUGACCCCGAGAUGUAGGAAACAGGAGAACGACGUGCAGUGUGCAUGUGACUCCGUGACACGCGGCUUCGAGGCCCUGCUGCAGAACAUCCAUGGAUGCUGUGCAGGAACACCAAUCAUCCUCCGAUUGAUUCGUCACCUGCGGGACAUUUGUCACCGGGACUAUUUCACGCACGUUUCUCCUUGUUUUCCUGGGUGUCCGUCAGAGCAUCCCAGGACAGCCCAGAGAGAAAUUGACUCCAAAUAAAAAAGGCGGUCGGAGAGACAUCGACUGCGCUCCGCUCCGACUGUUUCCUUCACAGCGCUUGGCUUUCACAGCAGAUUACAGACGCUCGCCCGCCGGCCCGAGGAAGGUUUGGAAUACUAAUGGCCGCCGGCAUGGAAGCCCGGGAUCCCCUCCUGCCGCCAUAAAGACGCUCACUUCGGAUUUUCCAAACCCUUGUUAGGACUAAAAUAGACUAGCAAUUAAUUGUAUUAUCUAAAACAUGUACGCCAAAUAAGUCUUUAAAUAUGUACUAUCAUU